UACGUGAUUCUUGUUAUUCCUGUUAUUUAUGAAAUAAACACCAAGUGUAAUGGCAAUUAGAUACAACUACUCUUACAGAUGGUGGCUUACGUAAAGAAUAUGAAAUGACUUGCACGCUAUGAUUACUGCAGCGCAAACUUAAAACGAACGUCCAUGCCGUGCUAUUUAUUUCGCUCGAUAAUCGUUCACGCAUACGAAAGCACAAUGUUUAAAAUAAAAUUUCGUGCUGUUUUUAGAAAAAUUCUAAAAGUGUAUUCUACUUCGUUGUUAUCGUGAUUCUGUUACUGAAUGAGGUAGACUGAUUUCAAAAAUAAAGGAUGUCACGCAUCAUCUUGUAAAAUCAGAGAAGGAAUAAGAAAUGCGUUUCAAAUCCACGGCGUGCACACGGAUAUUUCGGUGCUACUUUUCCUUCCACAAAACUCAUUUCUGUAUCCUUUAGACAGACUGCAAUAUCCAAAAUAAAUCUUUCAUAUGACCGAUCGAUUUUCAUGCUACGGAUUGAUGAAAAGACAACUUUCACGCUACAAAAAUCGUUAAUAGAUACAUAUAAAUAAGCUUUAAUGCUCUCUAUUAACCUA